rnacentral:rRNA from 1 species
UACCAGCACCCCGAGUGGUCGGGACGAUUAUUGGGCCUAAAGCAUCCGUAGCCGGUCCUGCAAGUCUUCCGUUAAAUCCAGCUGCUCAACAGAUGGGCUGCGGGAGAUACUACAGGGCUAGGAGGCGGGAGAGGCAAGCGGUACUUUAUGGGUAGGGGUAAAAUCCGCUGAUCCAUAGAAGACCACCAGUGGCGAAGGCGGCUUGCCAGAACGUGCUCGACGGUGAGGGAUGAAAGCUGGGGGAGCAAACCGG